GCAGUCGAACGAGAAAGCCGGGAGCAAUCUGGUGAGUACAGUGGCGUACGGGUUGAGUAACACGUGGAUGAUCUACCUCUUAGUUCGGAAUAACCCUGGGAAACCGGGGCUAAUACCGGAUAAGCUCGAGAGAGGAAAGUAGCAAUACGCUGAGAGAGGAGUCCGCGGCCGAUUAGCUAGUUGGCAGGGUAAAAGCCUACCAAGGCAGAGAUCGGUAGCCGGCCUGAGAGGGCACACGGCCACACUGGCACUGAAACACGGGCCAGACUCCUACGGGAGGCAGCAGUGGGGAAUCUUGCACAAUGGGGGAAACCCUGAUGCAGCGACGCCGCGUGAGCGAUGAAGCCCUUCGGGGUGUAAAGCUCUUUCGUCAGGGAAGAUGAUGACGGUACCUGGAGAAGCAGCUGCGGCUAACUACGUGCCAGCAGCCGCGGUAAUACGUAGGCAGCAAGCGUUGUUCGGAGUUACUGGGCGUAAAGGGUGUGUAGGCGGUUGUUUAAGUUUGGUGUGAAAUCUCCCGGCUCAACUGGGAGGGUGCGCCGAAUACUGAAUGACUUGGAGUGCGGGAGAGGAAAGUGGAAUUCCUGGUGUAGCGGUGAAAUGCGUAGAUAUCAGGAGGAACACCGGUGGUGUAGACGGCUUUCUGGACCGUAACUGACGCUGAGACACGAAAGCGUGGGUAGCAAACAGGAUUAGAUACCCUGGUAGUCCACGCCCUAAACGAUGCAUAUUUGGUGUGGGCAGUUCAUUCUGUCCGUGCCGGAGCUAACGCGUUAA
rnacentral:rRNA from 1 species